rnacentral:rRNA from 1 species
CCUACGGGUGGCAGCAGUGAGGAAUAUUGGUCAAUGGACGAGAGUCUGAACCAGCCAAGUAGCGUGAAGGAUGACUGCCCUAUGGGUUGUAAACUUCUUGUAUAAAGGAAUAAAACGAGGCACGUGUGCCUUGUUGCAUGUACGUUAUGAAUAAGGAUCGGCUAACUCCGUGCCAGCAGCCGCGGUAAUACGGAGGAUCCGAGCGUUAUCCGGAUUGAUUGGGUUUAAAGGGAGCGUAGAUGGGUUGUUAAGUGCGUUGUGAAAGUUUGCGGCUCAACCGUGAAAUUGCAAUUGAUACUGGCAGUCUUGAGUCCAGUUGAGGUCGGCGGAAUUCGUGGUGUAGCGG